rnacentral:rRNA from 1 species
UGACGCAGACCCGAAACCAAGUGACCUACCCAUGACCAGGUUGAAGGCGCGGUAAAACGCGCUGGAGGACCGAACCCACGUAAGUUGAAAAUUGCGGGGAUGAGUUGUGGGUAGCGGUGAAAUUCCAAACGAACUUGGAGAUAGCUGGUUCUCUCCGAAAUAGCUUUAGGGCUAGCCUCGCAAAGAGGAUGCUGGAGGUAGAGCUCUGUUUGGACUAGGGGCCCGUCAAGGGUUACUGAAUUCAGAUAAACUGCGAAUUCCAGACAUUUAUGUGCGGGAGUCAGACUGCGAGUGAUAAGAUCCGUAGUCGAAAGGGAAACAGCCCAGAUCACCAGUUAAGGUCCCAAAAUUCAUGCUAAGUGGAAAAGGAUGUGGAGUUGCGCAGACAACUAGGACGUUGGCUCAGAAGCAGCCAUCAUUCAAAGAGUGCGUAAUAGCUCACUAGUCGAGUGACGCCGCGCCGAAAAUUUACCGGGGCUAAGCAUGAUACCGAAACUGUGGAUGUGCAUUUAUGCACGUGGUAGGAGAGCGUUCUAGCGGCGGUGAAGCAUGACCGAGAGGACAUGUGGAGCUUCUAGAAGUGAGAAUGCCGGUAUGAGUAACGAAAGACAGGUGAGAAUCCUGUCCGCCGCAAGACUAAGGUUUCCUGGGGCAGGCUCGUCCGCCCAGGGUAAGUCGGGACCUAAGGCGAGGCCGAGAGGCGUAGUCGAUGGACAACAGGUUGAAA